rnacentral:rRNA from 1 species
ACACAUGCAAGUCGAACGGUAGCAGGGAGAAAGCUUGCUUUCUUUGCUGACGAGUGGCGGACGGGUGAGUAAUGCUUGGGAAUCUGGCUUAUGGAGGGGGAUAACUGUGGGAAACUGCAGCUAAUACCGCGUAUUAUCGGAAGAUGAAAGGGUGGGACCUUCGGGCCACCUGCCAUAAGAUGAGCCCAAGUGGGAUUAGGUAGUUGGUGGGGUAAGGGCCUACCAAGCCGACGAUCUCUAGCUGGUCUGAGAGGAUGACCAGCCACACUGGGACUGAGACACGGCCCAGACUCCUACGGGAGGCAGCAGUGGGGAAUAUUGCGCAAUGGGGGGAACCCUGACGCAGCCAUGCCGCGUGAAUGAAGAAGGCCUUCGGGUUGUAAAGUUCUUUCGGUAAUGAGGAAGGGGUAUUAUUGAAUAGAUAAUAUCAUUGACGUUAAUUACAGAAGAAGCACCGGCUAACUCCGU